rnacentral:lncRNA from 1 species
UUCGAACACUUUUUAAGUGAAGGCUGUUUAUACAGUAUUAAAAAAUAAAGGUUCUUACACGCAAGGAUAGUUAUAGACUGCUAUCUCACGAAUAUAAGUUACAUGUUUUUGUGCACAAUCAAUCAAAAAUAAUUGGAGAAAGAUGACAAUGUAAGAACAUGAUUACUUUUCUGAAAAAAAACACACAAAAAUUAAGAUUC